GACGAACGCUGGCGGCGCGCCUAACACAUGCAAGUCGAACGAGCGAGAGAGAGCUUGCUUUCUUGAGCGAGUGGCGAACGGGUGAGUAACGCGUGAGGAACCUGCCUCAAGGAGGGGGACAACAGUUGGAAACGACUGCUAAUACCGCAUAAGCCCACGACCCGGCAUCGGGUUGAGGGAAAAGGAGCAAUCCGCUUUGAGAUGGCCUCGCGUCCGAUUAGCUAGUUGGUGAGGUAACGGCCCACCAAGGCGACGAUCGGUAGCCGGACUGAGAGGUUGAACGGCAACAUUGGGACUGAGACACGGCCCAGACUCCUACGGGAGGCAGCAGGGGGGAAUAUUGCACAAUGGGGGAAACCCUGAUGCAGCGACGCCGGGUGGAGGAGGAAGGUCUUCGGAUUGUAAACUCCUGUUGUUGAGGAAGAUAAGGACGGUACUCAACAAGGAAGUGACGGCUAACUACGU
rnacentral:rRNA from 1 species